GACGUAGGAUGCAAGCGUUGUCCGGAUUUAUUGGGCGUAAAGAGUUCGUAGGUGGUUUGUUAAGUUUGGUGUUAAAGAUUGGGGCUCAACCCUGAAACUGCACUGAAUACUGGCAGACUCGAGUGUGGUAGAGGCUAGUGGAAUUCCCAGUGUAGCGGUGAAAUGCGUAGAUAUCUGGAAGAACACCAGUAGCGAAGGCGGCUCUCUGGACUGAUACUGACGCUCAAGCGCGAAGGCUUGGGGAGCAAACAGGAUUAGAAACCCCGGUAGU
rnacentral:rRNA from 1 species